rfam:Triticum aestivum genome assembly, contig: Triticum_aestivum_CS42_TGACv1_scaffold_146001_2BS
CAACUACUCCCUCUGUCCCAAAUUUCUUGUCUUAGAUUUGUCUAGAUACGGAUGUAUCUAAUACUAAAAUGUGACUUGAUACAUCCGUAUCUAGACAAAUCUAAGACAAAAAUUUUGGGACGGAGGGAGUACUUU